rnacentral:lncRNA from 1 species
UUUCGCGGAGGCCUCCCCCGCGCACAGCCCCCCCACCUCCCCCGCCACCUCUCAGAAGGAGAGACCCCCGGGUGGGCAGGAAAGGGCUGCCGAUGUGGGCCGGUGCUGCCAGACUUUCAGAGGCGAGCUGCCACCCACCCACGGAGUCGGACCCCCGGGCAGUAACGGGGAGGGCGGCAGUGUCCCGCUCGUUGCCGUUCCCCGCACCCCCCUAGGAGGCUCCAUGGGGAGGAGAGGGCCCUUUUGCACACCAAGUUCUUGCGAGGCUGCCUUCCCAACAGCCGCUGAACACCUCUUCCGCAGGGAGCCCCCGCCUUCCAGCCACUGUCCUCGAGAGACGGCAGCGUCUUGGUCUCCUGUCUGCAGCCUUGGUGGGCUUCCUUCGGAACUCGCUGAGACAGGUCCGGCUCCUUGGGAGCUCUGUAUUUAGUGGGCCUUGUCCUGGAGUUGCGGCUCCAGGCCUAGUGAGACAUGGCAGAGGCCAGGGCAGGGAGAGUGUGAGGCUGGGGUCAGGGUCUAUGCGGAGGCCGCCCGAUGCCUCAGAACCAGGUGGACACAGUUGUGUGCAUGUCCCUCUUGGCCAAUGACAGGUCUGGUUCAGGUGGCCCUUGCCCAGGGACAGAGGCUUCUCCUGGCUCCGUGCCUUCCAGCUCUUAGUCCUGGUAUGCACAGUGUCACUGGGCUUCCGAUAGCUGCCGGCCUCAACUCUGGGAGAGGGCAGGUGGGGCGGCAGGAGGUGCCUGUGCUUUCCUGGGCAUGAGCAGGCAUGAGAGGUACACGUGCUCACCUGGGCAGCGCCUCUCAACUGUUAGGUGUGGGGUUAGGGUUCACCUGACGAUUUGCCACAGUCCAGUGGACCCGAGAGUUGCAUGCAGAGCUGGGUGUCAGUGCAGAUUGGGGAAGGGUCUGAGGGUGUGGGUGUGGGGGGCUGUGCCGGGGCCUGCAGACUGGGGUGUGCAGUGCGAGUGAGGUGCUUUUGUAGUCUGAGGGGUGAUGUGCCAGUGUGGUGUCAGGGUCUCUUCUACUCUGGGUGCUAUGGGCCAGCAGGACUGAGAGGGGUGGGGCCUUCUCUGGGUUGAGGGCCACAGGGGAUGGUGAGGGUGGGAGUGCUGAAUUUUCGCACAGGGUGGGGCUGGGCUGCGGGCAGCAGAUGUGCUGCGGACAGUCAGGGUUAGGUCACCUGCGGCGAGCAGGGCUUCCUAGGUGUUCCCGGGGCCCUGGUGAUGUGGAAGCUGUUCUCAAAUUCUGG